UGGGCCGUGGCGAAGCGGUUAACGCAUCAGGUUUUGAUCCUGACAUACGUAGGUUCGAUCCCUACCGGCCCAGCCA
rnacentral:tRNA from 1 species